rnacentral:rRNA from 1 species
GUUGGUGGAGUGAUUUGUCUGGUUAAUUCCGAUAACGAACGAGACCUUAACCUGCUAAAUAGGGGCGCGAAUCUUCGGGUUCGUCGCGCCUUCUUAGAGGGACUAACCAGGCUUACUGGUUGGAAGUUUGAGGCAAUAACAGG